UAGCAUAUCAAUAAGCGGAGGAAAAGAAACCAACAGGGAUUGCCCUAGUAACGGCGAGUGAAGCGGCAACAGCUCAAAUUUGAAAUCUGGCCUCGGCCCGAGUUGUAAUUUGUAGAGGAUGCUUUUGGCGCGGCGCCUUCCGAGUUCCCUGGAACGGGACGCCAGAGAGGGUGAGAGCCCCGUACGGUUGGAUGCCAAGCCUCUGUAAAGCUCCUUCGACGAGUCGAGUAGUUUGGGAAUGCUGCUCAAAAUGGGAGGUAAAUGCCUUCUAAAGCUAAAUACUGGCCAGAGACCGAUAGCGCACAAGUAGAGUGAUCGAAAGAUGAAAAGCACUUUGAAAAGAGGGUUAAAUAGCACGUGAAAUUGUUGAAAGGGAAGCGCUCAUGACCAGACGUGUGCCUCGUGAAUCAUCCGGCGUUCUCGCCGGUGCACUUCGCCUGGCACAGGCCAGCAUCGGUUUUCCCAGGGGGAUAAAAGCCGCGGGAACGUAGCUCUUCCGGGAGUGUUAUAGCCCGUGGCACAAUGCCCUUGGGGGGACCGAGGCCCGCGCUCCGCAAGGAUGCUGGCGUAAUGGUCAUCAGCGACCCGUCUUGAAACACGGACCAAGGAGUCAAGCAUUAGGGCGAGUGUUUGGGUGUCAAACCCGCACGCGAAAUGAAAGUGAACGCAGGUGAGAGCUUCGGCGCAUCAUCGACCGAUCCUGAUGUAUUCGGAUGGAUUUGAGUAAGAGCCUUACCGCUUGGACCCGAAAGAUGGUGAACUAUGCCUGGAUAGGGUGAAGCCAGAGGAAACUCUGGUGGAGGCUCGCAGCGGUUCUGACGUGCAAAUCGAUCGUCAAAUCUGGGCAUGGGGGCGAAAGACUAAUCGAACCAUCUAGUAGCUGGUUACCGCCAAU
rnacentral:rRNA from 1 species